CCCUUAGAUGUUCUGGGCCGCACGCGCGCUACACUGAUGCAUUCAACGAGUCUAAAACCUGCUCUGAUAGGGGUGGGUAAUCUUUUGAAUGUGCAUCGUGAUUGGGAUAGAUGAUUGCAAUUUUUCAUCUUCAACGAGGAAUGCCUAGUAAACGCAAGUCAUCAGCUUGCAUUGAUUACGUCCCUGCCCUUUGUACACACCGCCCGUCGCUCCUACCGAUUGAAUGGCUUAGUGAGCCUUUGGGAUUGGCAGCCAACACCGGCAACGGUAGCUGGCCGCCGAAAACUUAUGCAAACUUGGUCAUUUAGAGGAAGUAAAAGUCGUAACA
rnacentral:rRNA from 1 species